UUUAUGUCGAUUUAACCCAAAUUACCUUAAUCCGAAAAUGCUUCCUAAGUGAUACAUGAAGAGAGGUGGUCUUGUUUUGUCUAUAAUUCCUACUACUUGAUCAAGAAAACUUGUCAAACAAGAUCAAAUAACACACUCAAUGACAAACAUGAUUUAUUAAUCCGCACUCUAUUUAAGAUUAGAACAUAAGAAAACAGAAAAUGUAGAUUGUCACUGUUGCCGUUAAUAGAGCUAGUUCGCAAUAGAUAGUAAUAUAAAUAAGGAAAAGGAAAAAAAAUUAAGGGCCUAAGGUUAAAGAUGGGAUUAGGCGAAUAAAAAAACAAUAUGUCGUCAAGCGUCGCGUGAGCUCAGGCGCAGCACCGGCUUCGUAUAAGCCCCGAUAAUGCAAGAUAAAUUCUUGUGUAACUACCGAACCAUUUGAACAGUUAAAACAAUUACUAAUAUGCUUGAACAUUGAUUUUUUUUUGAGAAAAGGACAAAAGUCAGUUCGGCAACAUCGCAAAUUAAGGACAUGGUAUCAAAAUUAUAGGAAUUUAUAUAAAAGUCUAAUUGGUGGAACGAAGGAAUAUUCAAAUAGAUAAAAGUUGCAUAAAAAAACUUACCGUGGCCAAAGGGGUUCUUAAAUUUAUUUGAACUGCACAGGAACUUUUCUUUCCCAAAUUUACGCGAAUGGGGCCUUAUGUAAACUGUAAAUACGAUAUCAAUUAGAAUCUAAACUUACACGAGGAAACUAAGAUAAAGACUGACAAAAUUUAAAAUAUAACUUACUGAAAAACGUGAGGUGGGACCACGCUCUUGGCUGCGUGGUGUGACGAUACAAAUCCUUUACAAGAAAGAUUUGCGAUUAGGUUCCACAAAAAUUACUCAACAUGCGACGGACCGCAAUCAACAUCAGGUGUUUGGAAAACAAAUAGCCUCAAGAGCUGAUUUCAAAAAUCACAAAAGUUUUCCCAACACUACGACACACCCAAUCCACACAGCCAGAUACCGGAAGUAAUAAAGUGUAAAAUUUGCGCGGAUCCCCUCCUGAGUUUAAGCUAUCAAAAAAACUAUCCCUGACCCCUAUUGGUUGGAGUCUGACCAAUUAAAACUAAGUAAACUAUAGUAAACAAUUAUUAACCCUAAAAUCAAAUCUAAUAUGAUUUAUAACACAUUGAUUAAGUUCCCUGAACAUAAAUAAGUAGCUAAAUAUAUCAUUCCCGUGUAUAUUUCUUAGAAAUACCUUGAUGUAGAAAAGUGGUAACAUGGAAGAUUCAGCGCACACUCGAGCAACAACGCACCGCGCAGAAUCAGCACUGAAUUCGGCAGGUAGGUAGGUGGAGUUUCAGCCGGAAGACAAAGGACGAAAAGAAACGAAAUGGUCAAAUGUCAUCUACGAAUCUACAAAAAUAUGGAGCUAGGCAUGCACUUGGAUGGUUCUAAUACGAUUUCUCCCUAGGAUCUCGCGGCCGGCGACAGUUGUGGAUGAAUAAAUAUUAUUUACAAGACCUGGAUACGAACGCAUUAAGGCAAUACACAAUACACAACCUUGUAAUUAAGGUGACAGGACCCACAACGAUUCCUGUGAAAUAACCUGCAUUUGAAAUGAAUUAUAAAGAGAAAAUAUAAUGUAAUACACCAUUAAUAAAG